AACGCACAUUGCACCCGCCGGGACAGCCCGGCGGGAACGCCUGUCUGAGCGUCAUUUCAACCCUCGCCCCCUGGCUUCCCUGCCCGGGGACGGUGUUGGGAGUCAGCCGCAACUGGCUGUUCCCCAAACUCAGUGGCGAACGCGCUGUGAAGCCCCCUGCGUAGUAGCACACCUCGCGGGACGGACAGCGGCGCGGGCUGCCGUGAAACCCCCCAACUCUUUCAAGGUUGACCUCAGAUCAGGUGGGAAUACCCGCUGAACUUAA
rnacentral:misc_RNA from 1 species